AUUGAACGCUGGCGGCAGGCCUAACACAUGCAAGUCGAACGCGUGGCGGACGGGUGAGUAAUGUCUGGGAAACUGCCUGAUGGAGGGGGAUCACUACUGGAAACGGUAGCUAAUCCCGCAUACCAUCGGAUGUGCCCAGAUGGGAUUAGCUUGUAGGUGGGGUAAAGGCUCACCUAGGCGACGAGCCCUAGCUGGUCUGAGAGGAGGACCAGCCACACUGGGACUGAGACACGGCCCAGACUCCUACGGGAGGCAGCAGUGGGGAAUAUUGCACAAUGGGCGCAAGCCUGAUGCAGCCAUGCCGCGUGUAUGAAGAAGGCCGUCGGGUUGUAAAGUACUUUCAGCGGGGAGGCGUUACCCGCAGAAGAAGCACCGGCUAACUCCGUGCCAGCCGCCGCGGUAAUUC
rnacentral:rRNA from 1 species